AACGAACGCUGGCGGCAUGCCUAACACAUGCAAGUCGAACGAGACCUUCGGGUCUAGUGGCGCACGGGUGCGUAACGCGUGGGAACCUGCCCUUAGGUUCGGAAUAACUCCCCGAAAGGGGUGCUAAUACCUGAUAAUGUCUUCGGACCAAAGAUUUAUCGCCUUUGGAUGGGCCCGCGUUGGAUUAGCUAGUUGGUAGGGUAAAAGCCUACCAAGGCGACGAUCCAUAGCUGGUCUGAGAGGAUGAUCAGCCACACUGGGACUGAGACACGGCCCAGACUCCUACGGGAGGCAGCAGUGGGGAAUAUUGGACAAUGGGCGAAAGCCUUAUCCAGCAAUGCCGCGUGAGUGAUGAAGGCCUUAGGGUUGUAAAGCUCUUUUACCCGGGAUGAUAAUGACAGUACCGGGAGAAUAAGCUCCGGCGAACUCCGU
rnacentral:rRNA from 1 species